GCAACUGUAAUCACUGAAUUUUGUUCGGUUUAAAUUUCAUUUUUUUUAAAUUACGGGUUUGGGCUUGUACGAGCCCAAUGACUGGGCCCAAUGAUCGGGCCCAUUGUGUUUGGAUAAUUGGGCUUGUUUGGGCUUUAGCCAUUAGUGUAUUGUUUUUAUUUUUAUAUUUUAUUAAUUUUAAAUAAUAAUAAUAUCAAAAUCAGAAAAAAAAUACAAAAUUUAAAAUUAUAUUUUGACCCCUUAACUUUUCUAAAAUUACAUUUUAACCCAUAAAUUUUCCUAAAAUUAUAUUUUGCCCCCUUAAUUUUCAUAAAAUUACAUUUUGGCCCCAGAAGUUUUUCAUCAUUUACAAUCUAGUCCUUCUAGCACAAGGGCGCGAUUUGCACACCUGCCCUCCACGAUUUUCGACAGCCAGUGUGGGUGGUGGCCCCCCUCCUCAACUGCUACCUACAAGGACAGAAAAUCAGCAAUAAAACACCAAGAAGCAACCAAAAAACAGGAGCCGAUCAACAAAAAAGCAAACAAAAUCAAAGAAAAAGCAAUAAAAAUAGCAGCAAGAAAAAUAUGCCACCCCACACCGCCGUGCCCACCGCCGCCCUUUACCACACAACCGUCGCACCACCAUCGCCAAACACAAGCAAACCAAAGGAAAAAAACUCAAAAGAGUGCAAGAAAAAAAUCAAAAAAAAUAGCACGACCGUGCCCACCGCCACCGCCGCUGCACCACCAAGAGGAAGAAUCAACAGCAAAAAAAUGGCCUAGGGUUUGAAAAGAAGAGGAAAAAGGAAAGAAAGGAAGAAGAUAAAAGAAAAAAAAGGAAAAAGGAAAAGAAAAAAAGGAAAAAAAUAAAAAAAAUAAAGAACAGUCGGGUCGACCCAACCCACAAUCCGUUCCAGCCCAGCGCCCAACCCAGCAUCCAAUAGGCCCACAGCCGACCCAGUAGUAUGCCCAACGCACAGCAAACAACAGGCCCAUUUUUAGUAAGUCCAGAUCCGGCCAAAAAAAUAAAAUAAAAGGCAGCAGGCCUAACCCAACAGAAGCC
rnacentral:lncRNA from 1 species